rnacentral:tRNA from 9 species
GGAGGAAUACUCAAGUGGCCGAAGAGGCACGCUUGGAAAGCGUGUAGAUCCAAAAGAUGCGAGGGUUCGAAUCCCUCUUCCUCCGCCA